rnacentral:rRNA from 1 species
UACAGAGGGUGCGAGCGUUAAUCGGAAUUACUGGGCGUAAAGCGCACGUAGGCGGCUUGGUAUGUCGGGUGUGAAAUCCCCGGGCUCAACCUGGGAACUGCAUCCGAAACUGCCUUGCUCGAGUAUGGGAGAGGGAAGUGGAAUUUCCGGUGUAGCGGUGAAAUUCGUAGAUAUCGGGAGGAACACCAGUGGCGAAGGCGGCGAUCUGGGAAGAUACUGACGCUGAGGUGCGAAAGCGUGGGGAGCAAACAGG